UAUGUGCACUGUUAGAGUUCAGAGAUGCAAUUAGUCCCUUGCUGAUGAACUCCUUAAGUAUAGAAAGUGCACUAGAUCAAUUUGGGCAGUAUUUUUUUGCUAAUGCCAUAGGGAUCUUUGAUUUAAUGAGUAGAGUUUGAUAAUGAUCCUUGCCACAUUU